GCAGCGCAAGGGUGAGUAAUACAUGGCUAACAUACCCCAAACAUGAGAAUAACUAUUAGAAAUGAUAGCUAAUGCUCAAUAGUUUCUUAAGACCUCCUGGUCUAAAGAAUAAAGGUAGGGAUCCUUCGGGACCUUCCGGUUUGGGAGUGGGUCAUGGGCUAUCAGCUAGUUGGUGAGGUAAAGGCUCACCAAGGCUAAGACGGCUAGGCGAUCUGAGAGGAUGAUCGCCCACAUCGGGACUGAGACACUGCCCGGACUCCUACGGGAGGCUGCAGUCGAGAAUCUUCCGCAAUGGGCGCAAGCCUGACGGAGCGACGCCGCGUGAGGGACGAAGGCUUUAGGGUCGUAAACCUCUUUCGCUUGUUAAGAAAAGUGUAUGUUAAUAGCAUGCACCCUGACAAAGGCAAGUAAAGAAGCACCGGCUAAAUCCGUGCCAGCAGCCGCGGUAAUACGGAUGGUGCAAGCGUUACUCGGAAUCACUGGGCGUAAAGCGUUCGUAGGUGGUUUAUUAAGUUGGAUGUGUAAUCCCACGGCUUAACCGUGGAACUGCGUUCAAAACUGAUAAACUAGAGAGCAGUAGGGGACAAGGGAACUUCGGGUGGAGCGGUGAAAUGCGUAGAUAUCUGAAGGAACACCGAUGGCGAAAGCACUUGUCUGGGCUGAUUCUGACACUGAGGAACGAAAGCUAGGGUAGCGAACGGGAUUAGAUACCCCGGUAGUCCUAGCCGUAAACGAUGGAUACUAGC
rnacentral:rRNA from 1 species